GUUUUUCUUUUCUUUUUAAUAUUACUACAUAUUUUUCUUUAUUAAGUACCUUUAAUGCAAUGCCAGCGGCAAAAUUGGGAUUGGAGUCAAACUUGCUCUCAUCUUUUUACCACACUGCACUUCCUCGGAACCUUCCUUUGCCUUUGCUGUGUUCUAAGGCCGUAGAAGUGGGUCAUUCAAGGUCUCAUCACUGCAAAUGAAAAUAUUAAAUAAUAUUCAUAAGCCAUGUUUGAAUCCACCACAUCAGAGAAGGAGUUGGGGACUCCUAGACUCCUCUUUUUCCUUUGGGAGGAAAAGGAAAUUGGCAAACAUUUUGAAAAAACUGGAUACUAUCCCAACAUCCUUAGAGUCAGCACUGUGUCUAUAAAUUGUAACAUCUUAACUGAUAAAACGUGCUUCUUCAUGCAAAAGGUUGGAGCCAAAUACUAUUUACAAGUUAAAUAUCACAAAGCAUGAACUCACUCCUGC
ensembl:lncRNA